GACAGCAAGCUGGCUGUGACAUGUCAACCCCACUGAUUGCCAGAAUUGAUUUGCUGGAUCUGCCCUGUUAAGAUGGUGUCCCACUUCUUCCUGGCUCUGCCACAUGUGUUUUUCCAAAAUCUGGACACUUUACUGGAGAGGAUGAUUUCUCUAGAUGGAGAAAGACCAUGGUCUACAGAGAAUCAAGUUCUUCUGCUGGAAUACUCAAGGCAUGUUGAGUAGGUUCCCCUGC
rnacentral:sRNA from 1 species